rnacentral:tRNA from 1 species
GUGCCCAUAGCUCAGUUGGAUAGAGCGACGGAUUCCUAAUCCGUAGGCCACAGGUUCAAUUCCUGUUGGGCACACCA